CUUUAUUGGAGAGUUUGAUCCUGGCUCAGGAUGAACGCUGGCGGCGUGCCUAAUACAUGCAAGUCGAGCGAACCGAUUAAGAGCUUGCUCUUAAGAAGUUAGCGGCGGACGGGUGAGUAACACGUAGGUAACCUGCCUAUAAGACUGGGAUAACUCCGGGAAACCGGGGCUAAUACCGGAUAACAUUUUGCACCGCAUGGUGCAAAAU
rnacentral:rRNA from 1 species